GGGGGGUGGGGGCGGCUUACACAUGCAGUCGAGCGGGGGAAGGUAGCUUGCUACUGGACCUAGCGGCGGACGGGUGCCUUUGCUUAGGAAUCUGCCUAUUAGUGGGGGACAACAUCUGGCCUGGGAUGCUAAUACCGCAUACGUCCUACGGGAGAAAGCAGGGGAUCUUCGGACCUUGCGCUAAUAGAUGAGCCUAAGUCGGAUUAGCUAGUUGGUGGGGUAAAGGCCUACCAAGGCGACGAUCUGUAGCGGGUCUGAGAGGAUGAUCCGCCACACUGGGACUGAGACACGGCCCAGACUCCUACGGGAGGCAGCAGUGGGGAAUAUUGGACAAUGGGCGCAAGCCUGAUCCAGCCAUGCCGCGUGUGUGAAGAAGGCCUUAUGGUUGUAAAGCACUUUAAGCGAGGAGGAGGCUACUUUAGAUAAUACCUAGAGAUAGUGGACGUUACUCGCAGAAUAAGCACCGGCUAACUCUGUGCCAGCAGCCGCGGUAAUACAGAGGGUGCAAGCGUUAAUCGGAUUUACUGGGCGUAAAGCGCGCGUAGGCGGCUAACUAAGUCAAAUGUGAAAUCCCCGAGCUUAACUUGGGAAUUGCAUUCGAUACUGGUUAGCUAGAGUGUGGGAGAGGAUGGUAGAAUUCCAGGUGUAGCGGUGAAAUGCGUAGAGAUCUGGAGGAAUACCGAUGGCGAAGGCAGCCAUCUGGCCUAACACUGACGCUGAGGUGCGAAAGCAUGGGGGAGCAAACGGGAUUAGAUACCUUGGUAGUCCUUGCCGUAAACAAUGUCUACUAGCCCGUGGGGGCCUUUGAGGCUUUAGUGGCGCACCUAACGCGAUAAAGUAAACCGCCGGGGGAGUACGGGCGCCAGAACUAAAAACUCCAA
rnacentral:rRNA from 1 species